GCCGGACUAAUGACAAAUCCAUGUAGUAAUAAAUGUAAGACGGAUUAAUGAUAAAUCCAAGUGGUCUAUUUGAGACCCAGUACAAAAUAUUUCUUUACAUGUCUAUACUUUUCACAAGUCCAUUUCAGACGGUAUAAUUCCUCCAUAAGAAUGGCAAAAUCUUCUCUUAAAUAUCCAGUAAGUUGGAUGAAACGUCUACCGAAU
rnacentral:lncRNA from 1 species